rnacentral:rRNA from 1 species
GACGAACGCUGGCGGCGUGCUUAACACAUGCAAGUCGAACGGAAAGGCCUCUUUCGGGGGGUACUCGAGUGGCGAACGGGUGAGUAACACGUGAGUAACCUGCCCUUGACUUUGGGAUAACUUCAGGAAACUGGGGCUAAUACCGGAUAGGAGCUCCUGCUGCAUGGUGGGGGUUGGAAAGUUUCGGCGGUUGGGGAUGGACUCGCGGCUUAUCAGCUUGUUGGUGGGGUAGUGGCUUACCAAGGCUUUGACGGGUAGCCGGCCUGAGAGGGUGACCGGCCACAUUGGGACUGAGAUACGGCCCAGACUCCUACGGGAGGCAGCAGUGGGGAAUAUUGCACAAUGGGUGGAAGCCUGAUGCAGCAACGCCGUGUGCGUGAUGACGGCCUUCGGGUUGUAAACCGCUUUCGCUCAUGACGAAGCUUUGUGUGACGGUAGUGGGUAAAGAAGCACCGGCUAACUACGUG